GGCUCAGGAUGAACGCUAGCGGGAGGCUUAACACAUGCAAGUCGAGGGGCAACAGGAGUAGCAAUACUUGCUGGCGACCGGCGCACGGGUGAGUAACGCGUAUGCAACCUACCCAUAACAGGGGGAUAGCUCCCGGAAACGGAAAUUAAUACCCCAUAGGAUUCUACUGCCGCAUGGCACAAGGAUUAAAACUACGGUGGUUAUGGAUGGGCAUGCGUGCCAUUAGCUAGUUGGCGGGGUAACGGCCCACCAAGGCGACGAUGGCUAGGGGGUCUAAAAGGAUGAUCCCCCACACUGGUACUGAGACACGGACCAGACUCCUACGGGAGGCAGCAGUGAGGAAUAUUGGUCAAUGGGCGAGAGCCUGAACCAGCCAUCCCGCGUGCAGGAAGACGGCCCUAUGGGUUGUAAACUGCUUUUUAUGGGAAGAAAAAGCUCUACGUGUAGGGCACUGACGGUACCAUAUGAAUAAGCAUCGGCUAACUCCGUGCCAGCAGCCGCGGUAAUACGGAGGAUGCGAGCGUUAUCCGGAUUUAUUAGGUUUAAAGGGUGUGUAGGCGGAUGAUUAAGUCAGUGGUGAAAUCUCACAGCUUGACUGUGAAACUGCCAUUGAUACUGGUUAUCUUGAGUGUAGUUGAAGUAGGCGGAAUGUGUAAUGUAGCGGUGAAAUGCUUAGAUAUUACACAGAACACCGAUUGCGAAGGCAGCUUACUAAGCUAUUACUGACGCUGAUGCACGAAAGCGUGGGGAGCGAACAGGAUUAGAUACCCUGGUAGUCCACGCUGUAAACGAUGAUUACUCGUUGUUGGCGAUAUAUUGUCAGCGACUGAGCGAAAGCAAUAAGUAAUCCACCUGGGGAGUACGGCGGCAACGCUGAAACU
rnacentral:rRNA from 1 species